rnacentral:rRNA from 1 species
CCCUUCGAUGUUCGGAGCUGCACGCGCGCUACACUGUGGGUGGCAGCAUGUUAGCUUGCCUCGCUCGCAAGAGUGGGGUAAUCGUUUGAAAAUCCCACGUGAUUGGGAUAGGGACUUGUAAUUAUUUCCCUUGAACGAGGAAUCCCUAGUAAGUGCAGGUCAUCAGCUUGCGCUGAUUACGUCCCUGCCCUUUGUACACACCGCCCGUCGCUACUACCGAUUGAACGUUUUAGUGAGGUACUCGGACUGAGCCUCAGAAGAUUCACGUCUUUUGUGCUGCUCGGGAAGAUUCCCAAACUUGAGCGUUUAGAGGAAGUAAAAGUCGUAACA